rnacentral:rRNA from 1 species
AGAGUUUGAUCAUGGCUCAGGAUGAACGCUAGCUACAGGCUUAACACAUGCAAGUCGAGGGGCAGCAUGUUGGUUGCUUGCAACCAAUGAUGGCGACCGGCGCACGGGUGAGUAACGCGUAUCCAACCUACCCUUGUCCAUCGGAUAACCCGUCGAAAGGCGGCCUAACACGAUAUGCGGUUCACAGCAGGCACCUAAGGUGAACGAAAUGUGAAGGAGAAGGAUGGGGAUGCGUCUGAUUAGCUUGUUGGCGGGGUAACGGCCCACCAAGGCGACGAUCAGUAGGGGUUCUGAGAGGAAGGUCCCCCACAUUGGAACUGAGACACGGUCCAAACUCCUACGGGAGACA